rnacentral:tRNA from 1 species
GGAGCACAUCGGUGCUGGUGUGCCGCCUGGACUUCAAAUCCAGUGGGCGGGUCUAAACAAUUCGUCGGUGGGUUCGACUCCCACGUGCUCCC